rnacentral:rRNA from 1 species
AGAGUUUGAUCCUGGCUCAGAUUGAACGUUGGCGGCAUGCCUAACACAUGCAAGUCGAACGGAAACGAUGGGAGCUUGCUCCCAGGCGUCGAGUGGCGGACGGGUGAGUAAUGCUUAGGAAUCUGCCCAUUAGCGGGGGACAACUCGGGGAAACUCGAGCUAAUACCGCAUACGCCCUACGGGGGAAAGCGGAGGACUCUUCGGAGCUUCGCACUAAUGGAUGAGCCUAAGUCGGAUUAGCUUGUUGGUGAGGUAAAAGCUCACCAAGGCGACGAUCCGUAGCUGGUCUGAGAGGACGAUCAGCCACACUGGGACUGAGACACGGCCCAGACUCCUACGGGAGGCAGCAGUGGGGAAUAUUGCACAAUGGGCGCAAGCCUGAUGCAGCAAUGCCGCGUGUGUGAAGAAGGCCUGCGGGUUGUAAAGCACUUUCAGUAGAGAAGAAAAGCCUAGGGAUAAUACCCCUGAGUCUUGACGUUACCUACAGAAGAAGCUCCGGCUAACUCCGUGCCAGCAGCCGCGGUAAUACGGAGGGAGCGAGCGUUAAUCGGAAUUACUGGGCGUAAAGCGCGCGUAGGCGGCUUUGUAAGUCGGAUGUGAAAGCCCUGGGCUCAACCUGGGAAUUGCAUUCGAUACUGCAGAGCUAGAGUAUGGUAGAGGGAAGUGGAAUUUCCGGUGUAGCGGUGAAAUGCGUAGAUAUCGGAAGGAACACCAGUGGCGAAGGCGACUUCCUGGGCCAAUACUGACGCUGAGGUGCGAAAGCUAGGGGAGCAAACAGAAUUAGAUACUCUGGUAGUCCUAGCUGUAAACGAUGAGCACUAGGUGUU